GGUUAAGCGACUAAGCGUACACGGUGGAUGCCCUGGCAGUCAGAGGCGAUGAAGGACGUGCUAAUCUGCGAUAAGCGUCGGUAAGGUGAUAUGAACCGUUAUAACCGGCGAUUUCCGAAUGGGGAAACCCAGUGUGAUUCGUCACACUAUCAUUAACUGAAUCCAUAGGUUAAUGAGGCGAACCGGGGGAACUGAAACAUCUAAGUACCCCGAGGAAAAGAAAUCAACCGAGAUUCCCCAGUAGCGGCGAGCGAACGGGGAGGAGCCCAGAGCCUGAAUCAGUGUGUGUGUUAGUGGAAGCGUCUGGAAAGGCGCGCGAUACAGGGUGACAGCCCCGUACACAAAAAUGCACAUGCUGUGAGCUCGAUGAGUAGGGCGGGACACGUGGUAUCCUGUCUGAAUAUGGGGGGACCAUCCUCCAAGGCUAAAUACUCCUGACUGACCGAUAGUGAACCAGUACCGUGAGGGAAAGGCGAAAAGAACCCCGGCGAGGGGAGUGAAAAAGAACCUGAAACCGUGUACGUACAAGCAGUGGGAGCACGCUUAGGCGUGUGACUGCGUACCUUUUGUAUAAUGGGUCAGCGACUUAUAUUCUGUAGCAAGGUUAACCGAAUAGGGGAGCCGAAGGGAAACCGAGUCUUAACUGGGCGUUAAGUUGCAGGGUAUAGACCCGAAACCCGGUGAUCUAGCCAUGGGCAGGUUGAAGGUUGGGUAACACUAACUGGAGGACCGAACCGACUAAUGUUGAAAAAUUAGCGGAUGACUUGUGGCUGGGGGUGAAAGGCCAAUCAAACCGGGAGAUAGCUGGUUCUCCCCGAAAGCUAUUUAGGUAGCGCCUCGUGAAUUCAUCUCCGGGGGUAGAGCACUGUUUCGGCAAGGGGGUCAUCCCGACUUACCAACCCGAUGCAAACUGCGAAUACCGGAGAAUGUUAUCACGGGAGACACACGGCGGGUGCUAACGUCCGUCGUGAAGAGGGAAACAACCCAGACCGCCAGCUAAGGUCCCAAAGUCAUGGUUAAGUGGGAAACGAUGUGGGAAGGCCCAGACAGCCAGGAUGUUGGCUUAGAAGCAGCCAUCAUUUAAAGAAAGCGUAAUAGCUCACUGGUCGAGUCGGCCUGCGCGGAAGAUGUAACGGGGCUAAACCAUGCACCGAAGCUGCGGCAGCGACGCUUAUGCGUUGUUGGGUAGGGGAGCGUUCUGUAAGCCUGUGAAGGUGUGCUGUGAGGCAUGCUGGAGGUAUCAGAAGUGCGAAUGCUGACAUAAGUAACGAUAAAGCGGGUGAAAAGCCCGCUCGCCGGAAGACCAAGGGUUCCUGUCCAACGUUAAUCGGGGCAGGGUGAGUCGACCCCUAAGGCGAGGCCGAAAGGCGUAGUCGAUGGGAAACAGGUUAAUAUUCCUGUACUUGGUGUUACUGCGAAGGGGGGACGGAGAAGGCUAUGUUGGCCGGGCGACGGUUGUCCCGGUUUAAGCGUGUAGGCUGGUUUUCCAGGUAAAUCCGGAAAAUCAAGGCUGAGGCGUGAUGACGAGGCACUACGGUGCUGAAGCAACAAAUGCCCUGCUUCCAGGAAAAGCCUCUAAGCAUCAGGUAACAUCAAAUCGUACCCCAAACCGACACAGGUGGUCAGGUAGAGAAUACCAAGGCGCUUGAGAGAACUCGGGUGAAGGAACUAGGCAAAAUGGUGCCGUAACUUCGGGAGAAGGCACGCUGAUAUGUAGGUGAAGUCCCUCGCGGAUGGAGCUGAAAUCAGUCGAAGAUACCAGCUGGCUGCAACUGUUUAUUAAAAACACAGCACUGUGCAAACACGAAAGUGGACGUAUACGGUGUGACGCCUGCCCGGUGCCGGAAGGUUAAUUGAUGGGGUCAGCGCAAGCGAAGCUCUUGAUCGAAGCCCCGGUAAACGGCGGCCGUAACUAUAACGGUCCUAAGGUAGCGAAAUUCCUUGUCGGGUAAGUUCCGACCUGCACGAAUGGCGUAAUGAUGGCCAGGCUGUCUCCACCCGAGACUCAGUGAAAUUGAACUCGCUGUGAAGAUGCAGUGUACCCGCGGCAAGACGGAAAGACCCCGUGAACCUUUACUAUAGCUUGACACUGAACAUUGAGCCUUGAUGUGUAGGAUAGGUGGGAGGCUUAGAAGUGUGGACGCCAGUCUGCAUGGAGCCGACCUUGAAAUACCACCCUUUAAUGUUUGAUGUUCUAACGUUGACCCGUAAUCCGGGUUGCGGACAGUGUCUGGUGGGUAGUUUGACUGGGGCGGUCUCCUCCUAAAGAGUAACGGAGGAGCACGAAGGUUGGCUAAUCCUGGUCGGACAUCAGGAGGUUAGUGCAAUGGCAUAAGCCAGCUUGACUGCGAGCGUGACGGCGCGAGCAGGUGCGAAAGCAGGUCAUAGUGAUCCGGUGGUUCUGAAUGGAAGGGCCAUCGCUCAACGGAUAAAAGGUACUCCGGGGAUAACAGGCUGAUACCGCCCAAGAGUUCAUAUCGACGGCGGUGUUUGGCACCUCGAUGUCGGCUCAUCACAUCCUGGGGCUGAAGUAGGUCCCAAGGGUAUGGCUGUUCGCCAUUUAAAGUGGUACGCGAGCUGGGUUUAGAACGUCGUGAGACAGUUCGGUCCCUAUCUGCCGUGGGCGCUGGAGAACUGAGGGGGCUGCUCCUAGUACGAGAGGACCGGAGUGGACGCAUCACUGGUGUUCGGGUUGUCAUGCCAAUGGCACUGCCCGGUAGCUAAAUGCGGAAGAGAUAAGUGCUGAAAGCAUCUAAGCACGAAACUUGCCCCGAGAUGAGUUCUCCCUGACUCCUUGAGAGUCCUGAAGGAACGUUGAAGACGACGACGUUGAUAGGCCGGGUGUGUAAGCGCAGCGAUGCGUUGAGCUAACCGGUACUAAUGAACCGUGAGGCUUAACCUU
rnacentral:rRNA from 1 species